GAUGAACGCUGGCGGCGUACCUAAUACAUGCAAGUCGAGCGAACAGACGAGGAGCUUGCUCCUCUGACGUUAGCGGCGGACGGGUGAGUAACACGUGGAUAACCUACCUAUAAGACUGGGAUAACUUCGGGAAACCGGAGCUAAUACCGGAUAAUAUAUUGAACCGCAUGGUUCAAUAGUGAAAGACGGUUUUGCUGUCACUUAUAGAUGGAUCCGCGCCGCAUUAGCUAGUUGGUACGGUAACGGCUUACCAAGGCGACGAUGCGUAGCCGACCUGAGAGGGUGAUCGGCCACACUGGAACUGAGACACGGUCCAGACUCCUACGGGAGGCAGCAGUAGGGAAUCUUCCGCAAUGGGCGAAAGCCUGACGGAGCAACGCCGCGUGAGUGAUGAAGGUCUUCGGAUCGUAAAACUCUGUUAUUAGGGAAGAACAAAUGUGUAAGUAACUAUGCACGUCUUGACGGUACCUAAUCAGAAAGCCACGGCUAACUACGUG
rnacentral:rRNA from 1 species